rnacentral:misc_RNA from 1 species
GGAAGAACGUAGCGAAAUGCGAUAAGUAAUGUGAAUUGCAGAAUUCAGUGAAUCAUCGAAUCUUUGAACGCACAUUGCGCCCGCUGGUAUUCCGGCGGGCAUGCCUGUUCGAGCGUCAUUUCAACCCUCAAGCUCUCCGGAGUUUGGUGUUGGGGCGCCUGGGGCUUUUCGACCUCAGGGCCCUCAAGUCCAUCGGCGGGACCGCCAGGACACUGAGCGCAGUAGUAUUAUUUCGCUCGGUAGGAUCUUCCACGGCGGGUCGAUCUGGCCGCUAAACCCCCCAAUUCUCACCAAAGGUUGACCUCGGAUCAGGUAGGAAUACCCGCUGAACUUAAGCAUAUCAAUAAGCGGAGGA